AUGAUCCUCGCCGCGCUCCUGGCCGCGUGCCUCGCGCACGCCGCCCUCGCCAGCGCGCCCCGGCGCUCGCUCGCCGUCGACGCCUUCCCCUCCGAGCCCCUCUUGGACCCGGGAUUGUGCUGGGAGUCGGUCAGGACGCUGUACACGUGCAAGCACGAUCUGCUCGCGUCCUUCUUCACCGGGAGACCCGUGGCGCGUCCGUGCUGCGAGGCGGCCGGCGAAGUCCACGCCUUCUGCAACGUCGUCACCAGCUCCAUCGUCGGCGUGCUACUCCCGCGCAGGCUGCAAAAGGAGUGCGACGUGAUCAACCGGCAUCCCAGCGUGAGGGCGCCGCCGCGUGUCCCCGUCGCUGCGGUACCGGGCCCGGGAUCGACCGUGUCCGGCGGUGGUGCGCGCGCGCCGCCGGCGCCAGAGGAGUACACGGGCGUGCGCUUCCCUCCACCGCGCACUGGUACGGUGUCCGGUGGCAAGCCAGCGCCGCCAGCGCCAGCGCCAGAGGUGUCCACGAGCGCGGGCUUCCCUCCACCGAGCGCAGCCAGAGUUUCCGGUGGCGACCGUGCGCCGCCAGCGCCGGACGCGUAUACAAGUAUCAGUCCACCGCCCGCAACCAGAGUUUCCGGUGGCGGUGUCCGCACGCCGCCAACGCCAGAGGCGCGCACGAGUGUCAGCUCCCCUCCGCCGCGCACACCCAUAGUUUCUGGUGGUGGACACGCACCGCCAAAACCAGAGGGCCACACAAGUGUCAACUUUCCUCCGGCGCCUGCAACCAGGGUGUCCGGUGGUGCACAGGCGCCGACAGCACCAGACCUUCCCCCGAUCACGGGCUUUUCUCUUCCACCAACGCCCGUAGCCAGAGUUUCCGAUGGUGGUGCGCAUGCCCCAUCAACGUCCGAGGGCCACAUCGAUGCCAGCUUCGCUCCACCACCCGAAACAAGAGUGUCUGGUGGUCAACACGCGCCGUCAACACCAGACCUUCCUCCGAUCACAGGCUUUUCUCUUCCACCGCCGCCCAGGCCGGCCAUAGUUUCUGGUGGUGGACGCGCACCGCCAACACCAGAGGGCCACACAAGUGUCAACUUUCCUCCGGCGCCUGCAACCAGAGUGUCCGGUGGUGCACACGCGCCGACAGCACCAGACCUUCCCCCAAUCAUGGGCUUUUCUUUUCCACCGACGCCCGCAACCAGAGUUUCCGGUGGUGGUGGGCGCGUCCCGUCAACGUCCGAGGGCCACAUCAAUGCCAGCUUCGCUCCACCGCCCGAAACAAGAGUGUCUAGUGGUCAACACGCGCCGUCAACACCAGACCUUCCUCCGAUCACAGGCUUUUCUCUUCCACCGCCGCCCGCAACCACAGUUUCCGGUGGUGGUGCGCCCGCCCCGCCAACGUCAGAAGGCCACACCAAUACCAGCUUCNNNNNNNNNNNNNNNNNNNNNNNNNCUGGUGGUGCACACACGCCGCCAGCGCCAGACCUUCCCCCGGUCACGGGUUUCUCUCUUUCACCGCCACCCGCAGCCAGAGUUUCUGGUGGUGGUGCAAGCGCACCGCCGAUGCCAGAGGGACACAUGAAUGCCAGCUGCCCUCCAUCAUCUGCAACCGGAGUGUCUGGUGGUGCACACACGCCGCCAGCUCCAGACCUUUCCCAGAUCACGGGUUUUUCGCUUCCACCGCCACCCGCAACCAGAGUUUCUGGUGGUGGUGCAAGCACGCCACCAACGCCAGAGGGCCACAAGAAUGACAACUGCUCUCCACCGCCUUCAACCAGAGUGUCCGGUGGCGCACAUACACCGUCAGUGCCAGACCUUCGCCCAAUCACAGGCUUUUACCUUCCACCGCUGCGCACAGACAUAGCUUCCAGUGGUGGUGCAGGGGCGCCGCCAAUGCCAAAGGAGCACACGACUGUCAGCGUCCCUCCACCGCCUGCAACUAGAGUGUCCGGUGGUGCACGACCGACGAGCCCGAGCUCGGAGGAUUUGGGGUAUGGUACGCCGCCCUAG
rnacentral:rRNA from 1 species